CACGUAGGGUGCAAGCGUUGUCCGGAAUCAUUGGGCGUAAAGAGCUCGUAGGCGGCUUAGUAAGUCGGGUGUGAAACCUCCAGGCUCAACCUGGAGACGCCACCCGAUACUGCUAUAGCUAGAGUCCAGUAGGGGAGUGCGGAAUUCCCGGUGUAGCGGUGAAAUGCGCAGAUAUCGGGAGGAACACCAGCGGCGAAGGCGGGACUCUGGGCUGGUACUGACGCUCAGGAGCGAAAGCGUGGGUAGCGAACAGG
rnacentral:rRNA from 1 species